rnacentral:rRNA from 1 species
CAGUAGCACGGGAAUACAGAGGGUGCGAGCGUUAAUCGGAUUUACUGGGCGUAAAGCGUGCGUAGGCGGCUUCUUAAGUCGGAUGUGAAAUCCCUGAGCUUAACUUAGGAAUUGCAUUCGAUACUGGGAAGCUAGAGUAUGGGAGAGGAUGGUAGAAUUCCAGGUGUAGCGGUGAAAUGCGUAGAGAUCUGGAGGAAUACCGAUGGCGAAGGCAGCCAUCUGUCCUAAUACUGACGCUGAGGUACGAAAGCAUGGGGAGCAAACAGGAUUAGAUACCCCAGUAGUCCCUGUCUCUUAUACC